rnacentral:rRNA from 1 species
UCCCAGACUCCUACGGGAGGCAGCACCGACGAAUAUUGGUCAAUGGACGAGAGGCUGCACACCACACCCCGCCUGCGGGACGACGGCUCCCGCCGCCCCCCACCCUUUUUGUCCCGGAGCAAAGACAGUCACGUGUGCAUCAUCGAGACUACAGCAACAAAAACAAUCGCCCCACUCCGUCACAGCAGCAGCGGCAACAACGAGGACGACCCUGUUAUCCGGAUUUAUUGGGUUUAAAGGGUGCGCAGGCGGAGGUGAAAGUCAGCGGUCAAAUUGCGGGGCUCAACCCCGUACUGCCGUUGAAACUGCAUCCCUUGAGUGCGCGAAGGGUAGGCGGAAUGCGUGGUGUAGCGGUGAAAUGCAUAGAUAUCACGCAGAACUCCGAUUGCGAAGGCAGCAUACCGGCGCGCAACUGACGCUCAUGCACGAAAGCGUGGGUAUCGAACAGGAUUAGAUACCCUAGUGA